CUGCUAUUUAAAAGCAAAUCUGCUGUAACAAUUGCCAGUGAUCCUGAUCACUUUCUGUAUUUUCAGUUGAAAAUGAAGAUAAACAAUGAAGCAUUUUUAUCAAUUAUUUCAAAGCAUUUUACAAAAAAAAAAAAAAAAUCAGGAUAAAAAUCUUUUUUAACUAAUGAAGAAACUUAGGAAGAGCAAAAAAAAUGUGGAAAAAGAAAGGAAAACAUGAUUUUCUCAGUAUUACGAGGUAGGUAACCCAGGCACUAUGUGCUGCUGCUGUGGGACAAGGAGGGACAAAGCGGAAUCCGGUACCUUUGGAACUCUUACUUUAUAGCCCCACAUGGUCAUCCUUAGUCUGUGGAGGAAGGUAGCAGCCUGUGCUGCCUGCUUUCUCCUCCUCCCAUCUCAGGAUGAAAACUAGAAAAAAAAUGCUCUGUACUUGCAUUUCAAAGGCAUAGUCUAGUCCUUAGCAUGUGGUCUGAAUUAGAAAGAUAUUGCUGUAGUUAAUAUUAGAUUUUCAAGAAAAGUUCUUCUUUAUUUACUCGCAUCUUUUAAAAAAUCCAAAUUCAUAAUGUUGAAUGCACAAAUUUUAUUUCCUAUUAACACACUGUAUUCUUGAAUUGGUAGUAAAGAGAAUUUUAAACAACAGUGGCAGAUGGCCGAAUUACCCCUCCAGGGUGACUGGAAAGGAUGGUCACUGUUUUACUCGAUAGAUUAUGGUGAAGUGUAUUGAGAUAACAUGGACUGGGUGUGUAUUGUUGCAUUAGAAAUAAGACAUACAAUUUUGGCUAGAGUUUCUGUCUGCCCUCCCAUCUGAUCCAGAGAGCCACUAAUUUAGUACAAGUGUUCAUUAUGAAAAAUGUAAUAGACCUGAAGCUGGAUGACUGGGUCCUGGGAGCUAUUCAGCUAUUCCAUUAUUUUAUUUUAUCUUAUUUUACAGACACUGAGGAUUGUACCAUAUGUUUCUUUAACUGUAUUCCUGGUAAAAAUCUGAUUUUGAUUGGCACAAAUUGAACGUAUUCCAUAUAUCCUAACCUAUUACAGGUUAUCCUUACCCUAGCAAUUGAACUUUAGCUCUAAUUCAGAAGAAGAAAAAAAAAAAAAAAAAAGAAAAAAGAGUGCAAAGGCAAUCGUUUUCAUGUCUUUGCCAGAUGAAGCUGAAUAGAAGUACUGUCAGAGUAAGAAAUUCAGGAUUUGACCCUCUGAGUAGAUUUUAUUUUCAAAGCAGGUUCCCAGAAGCCACAGAGAAAAAAGGAAACAAAGCUAAAAUUGGGACAAGGUCAACUGGAUACAGAAGAGACUGUAACAAACCUAAAAUAGUUCUGUUAUUUUUGUUUCAGCUAAAGUUCACAGAAUUUUUAUUAAUAAUCUAACCUAGAUAUUUAGGCAGGAAUCAGACAGAACAACUUUUUAAUGACUGCCCAGCGGGAAGGUUAUAUUCAUAACUAGUGUUCAUAGUUCACUUCAUAUUUGACACUGACAGAUACAGUUACUGCCUUAAAUAUUGAAAGCCUAAGAAGUAUCCCUCUACAAACAGUAUAACACAUUACAGAGAGUUGAAGAAAUCUUUUGAGUGUAUUCAUUGCUUGGAAACAUAUAUAUUAUACAUACGUACAAGCAAUGAGAAACACGUGUAUUUUAUCAGGAUAAGCUACACUUAUUUGCAACCAGUAUGGGUAGGAGAAGGAUCAGGUCUUAUUUUAACAUGAUAGAAAUGCAGACAGGGAAAAUUUUCUGAGCAGAAAUUCAUACUUUCAAAUCAGUGGAUAGAGUUAAUUAAUCUUAAUUAAAAAAAAAUGAAGAUACUAUUUUUACUUCAGCCUCUUCUCUAAAGUAAUUAUACCACAGAUGAGGCAUAUACUUACUCUGAUACACCACCAACUUCCCCAAUUCCCCCCAGAAAGAAAAAUAAUAACAACAAAAACAACACUGCACUCCAAAAAGAAAAGAGAAGAAAAGAGAAGAGAAGAAAAGAGAAGAGAAGAAAAGAGAAGAAAAGAGAAGAGAAGAAAAGAGAAGAAAAGAGAAGAGAAGAGAAGAGAAGAGAAGAGAAGAGAAGAGAAGAGAAGAGAAGAAAAGAAAAGAAAAGAAAAGAAAAGAAAAGAAAAGAAAAGAAAAGAAAAGAAAAGAAAAGAAAAGAAAAGAAAAGAAAAGAAAAGAAAAGAAAAGAAAAGAAAAGAAAAGAAAAGAAAAGAAAAGAAAAGAAAAGAAAAGAAAAGAAAAGAAAAGAAGACCAAAUUAGGCAUCGGAUAUCACGAGUCACAGUGGUACUCAGAGUUCCUUCUGCUGCUACGAAUAGAAAUUACUGUUAAAAGUCUCUCUGAAAAGGUGUCUGUAAUUCAGAAUUUGUUUUAUGUGCAAUUUAAAGUAGCUUAAAUUUAUUUGUUCUCUUUCAGAAGUUAUACUUUAACAUGAAAAACACCGAAGAGCAUAAAUUGUUCUUUAUUUAACAAUUUUAGAUCUGGGAAUAUUUCAUUUAGAUCUAUUCUAGAUUUUACUGCUGGUGUUAACAUGCAGGUAGUAUUCUGUCAUUCUUUCAGUUUUGCAAUGAUCUAACAGUGAAUUUUUCACUGAUGCAACAUGCAGAUAUUAUUCUUUUAUAUGCAUUUCAGUAAAUAUUAAACAAGUAUAUAAAAUAUAUGUAAAGGGUACUGGGAAUUUAGGGCCUACUCUGUAUGCUUAUGAUGGAGGUUGUUGUCCACUCUUCCGAAAGAUGACACUCGAGAAUUCAGAUGACAUGGAAAAUACAGAGGUUUUAAAUAGUGAUGCAGCUAAAAUGCAAAACUCAGCCAAUGACAGCAAUAUCCCUUCCAAACUCUUUUUAACAGACACAAACUACUAAAUCCUUUAACUACAGAAUUGAGUCUGACUGACAGCUGAAGAAAAGUACACCUGGUAUUUAGAGAUAAACACUCUCAGUGUCAUAAAAAGGUAUGCCAGAUCUAACCUUCAGCCUGGACUUAGAAUGUCACAGUACAAAGGAAAUAGUUUUGUUUUUAUUCUUUGUCAUUAACAGGCUGGCUGAGCCAGGAGUUGGCUCUGAGUUCCUUAAAAAUGAGAGCAAAAAUGUAAUGUAUUUACGUCCUAAUCACAAAAAUGCCAGAAUAGUCUGCAUACUUUGUUAAUAGUCCUAAUGCCUUUCCAGGAAGGACAUACAGAGUAGUCUCAUUGGGGUUACUCUUAGUGUUAAAAUCAUGGAUCUGUUAAAUGUGUUAGGAAAUUAUGAUCUUUACUGUAUAAUUAGUAAGAUCUCUUGAUUCUCAUUGCUUAAGAUCCCAGAAGCUGAUAGGAGCUACUUUCUCUAUUUUACAGUGGGUAAGCUUGGGUGCAUGAAGAUAGUCCUGCCAAAGGCCAGGCAGGGAAUCCUUAACAAAGCCCAGAGCCCUUUAAGUUUCAUCUGAGUACUUUAACUUCACAGCAGCAAUUUUUAUCACCCUUUUAAUUUCACUGAAAAAGCCUUUAAAUACUCAAUAUAAUAACAGGUGACUGAAGGAUGAUCUGGAGGUAACUUGAAAGGAGAAGAUUUUUUUGCUUUCCACCUUAAAAAAGCACGGGUAUAUUAAACAAUGAGAACUGACAACAAAGGUAAGCUAAAAGCUAAACAUAAUAAGACACUGUUUUCAGCAUUUCAAAAGAACUAAAUACAACACAUCAGCAGCUUCAAAAUCCUUUUGAACAAAUGCACUCAGAAACAACUAACUGGCAAACAAAGCUAUUAUGAAGAUGACAGUGUGGCCAGUGAUCUUUUGGCACAUCAACUCCAUAAAGUGUAGGCCUCUAGGAAUACUCCUCACAUUUCAGUAAGUAGAAGAGCAAAUUUAACAACAGAUACUGAGGUCAGGGUAUUAUAAUUUGUUGAUUUUUACAAAGUUUAAUAGAUGAGAAUGUCCCCAAAAUGAGAAGUAUAUCCCUUAUUUAUUGUUGAAGGGAUUUGAUUUACUUUAAAUUUUAAAGGAUCGAUACAGUGAUCAGAAUUUCAGAGUCCCAGUCACAAUACUUUAUAUUUAGAUUAAUUUUUAUUCUGCCAAAGCAAUAUAGAAGCAUCUUAAACAGCACUCAUAACAUAAGAUAGAUGUCCUGUACCCUAUCAUGUAUCAUAAUUAACUAAGUAAUUAAGCUGCUCUCAACAGACAGAUAGAAGAUCAUGCUAGUUUACGAAGACUACAAAGCAUGGUUCAAAUAAUACAUGGAAAUAACAACAUCCUUUCAAAAAUACAAGUCUUCUUUAGCUGCUGGUUUUGUGUAACUAUACAUAAGAAGCUGUAUAGCAGAAAAAAAUCUUUCAGCCUCAUUAAUAAGGAAUGUCACUAAAAAAUAGGUAGGUAAUCAUGUCUCAUUAUCUUUCAAGAAUGUCACAGCAGAAUCAACACAGCUUCAGUGAGUAUACUGCUGGAUUGCUUCCCUUCUCAUAGCUUUCAGAAGGACUAUCAUUAUAUUUUCAGUAACAAAUCUUCACAAUUUGUAGGAUUGUAAAAAUGCUGAAUAAGAAUGUCCAUUAUUAAAAAGGAAGGAAUCAAAUUGAAUAGUUUUUCUAAUGUCAUAAACACCGCUGAGUCCACAACGUCCAUCUUCUAGGCUUUGAUUAAUAGAAGUCAUUAUAAACAUGCUUGAAUUUAACUUUCCUGAAUAGGAGGACUUUAAGGAUUAAUAUGGGCCUCUGGAAAUGAGAUACAAGAUGUUCUGAAGGAUGCUAACCUCUGACUGAACAGGACAGAAGCUCUUCUGAUUCCCCAGUUUGGAUGAGAAAUUGUGUCUGCUCCUCAGAGAAAGAAAAAAAAUGAAGACUGGAGAAGAUGCAGUUAUCCCUUAUCCUCAUGAACCUCAUUUUAGCAGAUAAAAAGAUACUGAGUCUAGAGAGCAGAUGAGCUGGAUCCAUUACCACAUUUGUAUGACUUAUGGUGGUAGAACUGAUUAUGCCUUAUGGCACCAAAAUCUAGUAAUUCUUGCAGACGGCCCUUGUUCACGGUAAUCAGCCUAUUUGAGGGCAUUCUGCUUUUCAGUGUCCUUGUCAAUGCUAGCACAGAGAUAGAAACAUGCUGCUUCAUGCUCAGAGCUCUCUUGGGGCUUUAGUCUCUUCAUUAUGUGUAGUCCAGGUGUGGCCUAUGACAGAGACCUUUGAAGAAACGGUCUAUACAACUUUGUAUAUUUGUUGAUGGGAGGCUUGGGAAGUAGUUCGACAGGAGGAUUUGUGCCUGUAGAAGUUUAUGGGCAUGUUGGUAAUUUGCACCAGGACUUCUGAGCUGCUUGCUAAUAUCCUUGCCAAAAGUCAUGGAGCUCAGAUUUACAUGGAGUAUAUUUGUCAUUAGGAUUGGUAUUCAUCAAAUGUAACCUCGGUAUCUUGUAUUACUAAAUGUUUUGAUGCGAGUUGUUUUAAUUUUUCCAGAGAUAACCCUGGACUUAUCUUUAAAGCACUCAACAUCCAAUCUCCUCCUGUUUUGCCUUUGCUUAGCUCUCAGCUCUCUGUGUUGAGUGUGAUUGGUGACCUUUUUAAAGAAAGGUAUCAUCACUAAAAGUCUCCUCAUUGACAGCAUCCAUACUCUUAUGUUUUGUAGCUAAUGGAUUUUUUACCAUCUAAAAUAUUAUACAAAGUUUUGUCCCAGUAAAAGCUCACAUGCAGCUGUAAAGUGAUGUCUGCAGCUUAAAGGAGUGUCCCCUCUAAGAGUCGCUGGCAUAUGGGUUUUUAUGUAUUAGGGUCUGUAAAUGAGAUACCACUUGCAAAGAUUAACCAUGUUUCAGGGCUGUGUGCCAGAUGGUAAAAACCAUAUGAGUUGUGGAGUCCUUAGAGAUUUUUUUUUUUUUAGUUUGUUUUUGUUUAUCAUAGAGAAUAUGCUUCUGGGUUCAUAAAGUUUCAGCAUGUUCUUUCUAACGCGUCAUGGAGAAAGAAGUAUUAACUCUAUCCUGAAUCCAGGCCACCGACAGCUAUAAAAAUAGCCUUUAAAAGAGGAGGUAGGCAGCCUAUUUCCUGGGAGAAAAAAAUAGCGGUUUUAAAAUACUUUCUGUGUUGAUGCUAAAAUUAAUGGGUUGUUAUUGUUAUUCUCUGAAAUGAUCUAUUCAGAAGAUAAAGCAAUAUUUUUUGAAACGAAUGUAUUUAAAUACUCUGCUCACGCUGUUUGCCUGGUUAUGUAGUAUUGUUCUUACUACAAUGAACUACGCGUGCUUGGGUGUAAGCUUGCAUUCAAAUAGUACCACAGAGCAGCUUCCCCAGUCAGAUAUACAAAUAACUGGAGAUAUGUGAAAGCCAUGGUGAUGUGAGGCCACAGGCCAGGCAAGCCAAUGCAAGUCAUGGCACACAGCCAGCUUUAACAAGACUCUUCAGUGUACCCUGCUUGGGAGUAAGGCUUGCUGUGUAUGGUCUCUAGGAAGGUGAUGAACCCAUGAUUUUUAGCACAGAUAAAAAGGACACACCAUAAGUUAUCUAAUUGGACAGCAGAAUUUCCAUUUUCUUUGCUUGUGGAAAUUUACCUAACAACAACCUCCAUGUUGGAAAGCAGGCAGCAGCCACACAAGGUCGGUGGAGAUGCAGGAUGGAAAGGACCCUGAAGGCAGUGAGGCCCAGGCCGGCCUCGUGUGGGACGAACCGCAGCCCGUACCGCUUCCAUUGCCCGUAAUACGGAGGUUUGCCCUCGUCGCUGCGGUUUCGCUGCGGUUUCAGCCACCGCCGCGGAGCGCCCGGAGUCCGCUGGGGUCGGUCGGCAG
ensembl:lncRNA